UACGUAGGGUGCGAGCGUUAAUCGGAAUUACUGGGCGUAAAGCGUGCGCAGGCGGCGCGUUAAGACAGGUGUGAAAGCCCCGAGCUUAACUUGGGAAUUGCGCUUGUGACUGGCGUGCUGGAGUGUGGCAGAGGGAGGUGGAAUUCCACGUGUAGCAGUGAAAUGCGCAGAUAUCAGGAGGAACACCAGCGGCGAAGGCGGCGCUCUGGGCCGGAACUGACGCUGAGGAGCGAAAGCGUGGGGAGCGAACAGG
rnacentral:rRNA from 1 species